UAGGGAAUCUUCGGCAAUGGACGAAAGUCUGACCGAGCAACGCCGCGUGAGUGAAGAAGGUCUUCGGAUCGUAAAACUCUGUUGUUAGAGAAGAACAAGGACGUUAGUAACUGAACGUCCCCUGACGGUAUCUAACCAGAAAGCCACGGCUAACUACGUGCCAGCAGCCGCGGUAAUACGUAGGUGGCAAGCGUUGUCCGGAUUUAUUGGGCGUAAAGCGAGCGCAGGCGGUUUCUUAAGUAUGAUGUGAAAGCCCCCGGCUCAACCGGGGAGGGUCAUUGGAAACUGGGAGACUUGAGUGCAGAGGAGGAGAGUGGAAUUCCAUGUGUAGCGGUGAAAUGCGUAGGUAUAUGGAGGAACACCAGUGGCGAAGGCGGCUCUCUGGUCUGUAAAUGACGCUGAGGCUCGAAAGCGUGGGGAGCAAACAGG
rnacentral:rRNA from 1 species